rnacentral:lncRNA from 1 species
CGCGUCCCAGAGAUUCCUGGGACCCGGGCAUCGCCCCCACUCCCCGCCGGGCUCUCCCGGGAAACUGAGGCCCGGGGACCAGGGUCAGGGCUCGUUCAAGGUCACCGGGCGAGGCGUAGAGGAGCUCCCUAGGUCCGCAGGCCCGCUCGGGGAAGGGGUCGGCACUGUACCUCCCCCAGGCCCGGGUCCCCCUCCCCCUCUUCGCGGACCCUGGGGAGCCCCCAAGGGUCAGAGAGCAGACCCAAACAGUCUGGCACCAUAGCAACCGGAUAGCCCCGCCCCCUUAACCCCUGGAGGGCUGGACUCCAGCUGGGGCGAGGGAGGAGGUGGGGACCCCUGGGUUCCGGGGCAGGACCCCCACACCCCCUACCCCAAUCCAGGCUGCUAGAUCCUGGGGAUCUGGACUCUGGGUUCUAGAGGAGGAAGGGUUUGGGGUCCAUUCCUAGGGAGGAGGGGCUGGGGUUCUGAACUCGGGUUUCCAAAGUGGGUGGGGGUUACGGUGUGGACUCCUAGGUCUGAGCGCAGAAGGCGGAGGUGGGGGUGGACUCCUGGGUCCUGGGAAACGUUGGCUAGGGGUUCGGAUUCUGGAAUUCGGGAAGGGGCAGGGUGGUGGACUCCCAGGUCUGAGGGAGGAGGGGGCUGAGGCCUGGAAUCCCGGGUCCCCAAGGGAGCCUGGACGCUGGGCCUCUCCUCCGCCAGACAUCCCCUGCCCCCGGCGCUGACCCGGGCCUGUCUGGCAGCCCAGACAACCUCCCCCUCCUCCUCAGCCCCCCUCCCACUUGCACGGCUCACCCUUGACCCCUCAAAGCCCCGCAGCCCCACCCCUCCCCCUCCCCUCCAGCCAGACGUUAACCGUUCCGCUGCCGGAGGCACCUCCAACGCCAGACUGUCUUCCUCCACCUCCCCAGAGGUCUGGGCAUCUGUCCCUCAGUCCCUUCCACCCUCCGAUCCUACCUAUCCCAGCCCACCUCUCUCCUCCCUCUUGAAUCUAGGAGACGUUCCCAGCUUUUGCAGCCUCUGGACCCCGGAAUUCAGGUGUGGCUCAGAGCAGGGUCUCGGGAAAAUGUUAAGUGAAUGA